rnacentral:RNase_P_RNA from 1 species
GCUACAAGCCAGGCUAUCGUUCCGACGUUACAGUCGGGAAGGAAAGUCCGGACAGCACAGAGCAAUGCACCGGUGAAGAGCCGGCUAUUCCGCAAGGGAUAAGAGACAGUGCCACAGAAAAUAACUGCCAUCUCCCUCUCCGCAAGGAGAGGGCAGGGGUGAGGCUGAAAAUGUGAGGUAAGAGCUCACAGCUUGUAUGAGUGAUCAUACAUCCGGGUAAACCUUGCAUGCUGAAAUGCCACAUAUAGUAUCGUUUGAGGACUGCUCGUCCGAGAUACAGGGUAGGCAGAUUGAUGCUGAUAAGUAAUUGUCAGUACAGAUAAAUGAUGGCCCCCGACAGGAUCCGGCUUAUCGGCUUGUAGCUUUU